UGUGAAUGUGCUCUCUGUCUCUCAGAAUAUCCUAUUAUACUGUAUCACACGUAACUGUAAUCUCAGAAAGCGAAACCACAGGUGGAUAAGGGGCAAUUACUGUAUUCCAGGAACUCUGCUAGGCAUUGGAGAUAAGGAAACGAAUAAGAGAUAUUUCCUUUGCUCAAGAAGCCAUGGGUAAACGGCAGUUACACCCCAGGGCCAUACGUGCUGUGAGAGGGAAGAGGCCAGCGGUCUGUGGGAGCUUAGGAAGGGCGGCUCCCCCAACCUGGGACAAGAGUGGCGUGGAAACCUUCCAGCUAGAGGCAGUUUUUCAGCUGAGACCUGAAGGGAAUCCUGGAGGCUCUACCUUCAAAUAAUCAGAAUCCAACAACUUCUUCCCCGCGCUGCUGCCUCUUCCUGGUCAGAGAUGCCGCUGACUGUACCGGGAGCAAUGCCCUGGUCUCCUAACUGGUCUCCUGCCUCUACACUUGCCCCCUCCGGUCUGUUAAGUCCACGUCCUGUUCUGGAUGUUUCAUAUAAAUGGAAUCACACAAUCA